rnacentral:rRNA from 1 species
AUAUACGGAGGAACACCAGUGGCGAAGGCGGAUCGCUGGACAGUAACUGACGGUGAGGCGCGAAAGCGUGGGGAGCAAACAGGACUAGGUACCUUCGUAGUCCACGCCGUAAACGAUGGAUACUAGGUGUGGGGGGACUGACCCCCUCCGUGCCGCAGCUAACGCAUUAAGUAUCCCACCUGGGGAGUACGAUCGCAAGGUUGAAACUCAAAGGAAUUGACGGGGGCCCGCACAAGCGGUGGAGUAUGUGGUUUAAUUAGAAGCAACGCGAAGAACCUUACCAGGGCUUGACAUCCUACUAACGAGGUAGAGAUACGUUAGGUGCCCUUCGGGGAAAGUAGAGACAGGUGGUGCAUGGUUGUUGUCAGCUCGUGUCGUGAGAUGUUGGGUUAAGUCCCGCACCGAGCGCAACCCCUAUUGUUAGUUGGUACGCAAGAGCACUCUAGCGAGACUGCCGUGGACAAAACGGAGGAAGGUGGGGACGACGUCAAAUCAUCAUGCCCCUUACGUUCUGGGCCACACACGUACUACAAUGACGGCCAACAAAGAGAGGGGAGACCGCGAGGUGGAGCAAAUCUCAAAAAGCCGUCCCAGUUCGGAUCGCAGGCUGCAACCCGCCUGCGUGAAGUUGGAAUCGCUAGUAAUCGCGGAUCAGCAUGCCGCGGUGAAUACGUUCCCGGGCCUUGUACUCACCGCCCGUCAAG